rnacentral:siRNA from 1 species
CUCCACCACUUUCAGCUUCUCGGC